rnacentral:rRNA from 1 species
GACGAACGCUGGCGGCGUGCUUAACACAUGCAAGUCGAACGGAAAGGCCCCUUUGGGGGUCCUCGAGUGGCGAACGGGUGAGUAACACGUGAGUAACCUGCCCUUGACUUCGGGAUAACUUCAGGAAACUGGGGCUAAUACCGGAUAGGAAUCCUUGCUGCAUGGUGGGGGUUGGAAAGCUUCGGCGGUUUUGGAUGGACUCGCGGCUUAUCAGCUUGUUGGUGGGGUAGUGGCUUACCAAGGCUUCGACGGGUAGCCGGCCUGAGAGGGCGACCGGCCACAUUGGGACUGAGGUGCGGCCCAGACUCCUAAGGGAGGCAGCAGUGGGGAAGAUUGCACAAUGGGCGGAAGCCUGAUGCAGCAACGCCGCGGGCGGGAUGACGGCCUUCGGGUUGUAAACCGCUUUCAGCAGGGGCGAAGCUUGUGGUGACGGUACCUACAGAAGAAGCACCGGCUAACUACGUG